GACGAACGCUGGCGGCGUGCUUAACACAUGCAAGUCGAACGAUGAAGCGGUGCUUGCACCGUGGAUUAGUGGCGAACGGGUGAGUAAUACGUGAGUGACCUACCUUUGACUCUGGGAUAAGCCUGGGAAACUGGGUCUAAUACCGGAUACGACCAAUCUCUGCAUGGGGAGUUGGUGGAAAGCGUUAUGGAGUGGUUUUAGAUGGGCUCACGGCCUAUCAGCUUGUUGGUGAGGUAAUGGCUUACCAAGGCGACGACGGGUAGCCGGCCUGAGAGGGUGACCGGCCACACUGGGACUGAGACACGGCCCAGACUCCUACGGGAGGCAGCAGUGGGGAAUAUUGCACAAUGGGCGCAAGCCUGAUGCAGCGACGCCGCGUGAGGGAUGACGGCCUUCGGGUUGUAAACCUCUGUUAGCAUCGAAGAAGCGAAAGUGACGGUAGGUGCAGAGAAAGCGCCGGCUAACUACGUG
rnacentral:rRNA from 1 species